rnacentral:pre_miRNA from 1 species
UCACCUCCGCAGGUUGGCUGGCCCCCAGGCCGCACUGGGCGUGUAUCUCUUCGAAAGGCUCCGCCUCAAGCAGGACUAGAGC